rnacentral:rRNA from 1 species
GGACGAAGUCUGACGGAGCACGCCGCGUGAACGAUGAAGGCCUUCGGGUCGUAAAGUUCUGUUGUUAGGGAAGAACAAGUACCGGAGUAACUGCCGGUACCUUGACGGUACCUAACCAGAAAGCCACGGCUAACUACGUG